rnacentral:lncRNA from 1 species
UUCACCUUCUGAGGCCUCCCCAGCCAUGUGGAACUAGCCAUCUUUCUCCUCUCUUUUAACAAAGCACCCUCGCUGUUGGUCCCUGCAAGCUUCAAAGAAUAAAAGGCAAUGCAGAGAAGGCUGGAGAUCAGGAGAGCAAUGGUGUAUUUCCAGUUUGAGUCCGAAGGCCUGGGAGUCAGCAGAGCUGCUGGUAUAUUUAUGCCCAAAGGCCAAUAAACUCAAGACCCAGGAAAAGCCGAUGUUUCCAUUUGAGUCCAAAGUUCUGGAAGCUAAAAGUCCAAGAUCAAGGUGUUGGCAGAGUUGAUUCCUUCCAAGGACUGAGGGAGAAUUUGUUCCACGCCUCUGUCCUGGUUUCUUGUGGUUUGCUGGCAAUCUUUGGCAUUCCUUGGCUUAUAGAUACAUCAUCCCAAUAUUUGCCUAUAUUUUCAUGUGGUUUCUCCUUGUUUAUGUGUCCACGUCCAAAUCUACCCCCCCCCCCUUUUUUUUUUUUUUGGAAACGAAGUCUUGCUCUGUUGCCUCGGCUGAAGUACAGUGGUGAGAUCUUGGCUUACUGCAACAUUUGCCUCCCAAAUUCAAGUGAUUGUCCUGCCUCAGGCUCCCAAGUAGCUGGGAUUACAGGCACCCACCACCACGCCCAGCUAAUUUUUGUAUUUUUAGUAGAGACAGGGUUUCACUAUGCUGGCCAAGCUGGUCUCAAACUCCUGACCUCAAGUGAUCUGCCUACCUCGGCCUCCCAAAGUGCUGGGAUUACAGGCAUGAACCACCGCACCCGGCCCAAAUUUACCCUUUUUAUAAAAACAUCCGUCUUAUUGUAUUAGGCCCAGCUAAUGACCUCAUCUUUACAUUGAUUACCUCUAUAAAAACCCUGUUUCAGUUCACAUUCUGAGGUACUGACAGUUAGGACUCCCACAUAUUUUUUGGUGGGGAGACACAACUCAACUCAUAAUACCUUCUGAAACUGAACAGCAGUUUCCUUGUUUCAAAGCAAUGCUACAAGAAAAACUUGGAACUGUAACAUCCCCCUGCAAACUGGGAAGGAGCUAAGAGACCAAAGAAUGAUUCAGACAAGUCCAGCUUGAUGAGUAGAUGAGUCUAUCAGGACUUAUGUACAUGGCACUCCUGGAUAGCGGCAGGACAGCGCUGGAGAUCUGCGCCACCUCCCGACUCCAAACUGCUUUUAAAUUAAUUUCCUGGCUCUUUGCCUACUGUGUUUGAGUGAUGAGACUGUUUUUCUUGAUCGGUUCUCAGAUACUCACUGGGAUGUUUGGGUUCUUAGAGACACCUGCUCCUCGGUUGGGCACCCUGGACUUGGCUCACUGCCCAGCCUUCAGAAUUCAGGCAGUGGACAUACAUCCUUAAGUAACUUGGUGGGGGACCCAUCACACUACAGAUGUAACGAUAAUAAUUUGGCUCAAAUCACUUUCUAGUUAACAAUCUGGUAAAAGCAAUAAGUAGGAUAACCAUAUAACUUAUUAAGUCAAAACAGUUACGAGGCUAAAUUUUAGUAAUACUCACUGAGACAGGGAGCAAAAACAUGUCCCAAGCAAACUGGGAUGCAUGUUCCACCCUAGCUAUAUAAGAUAACAUGCCAGGUGUAGAGACACUGAAAGCUCCUUACUCCGUCUGCCCAGGUCUUCUGUCUCAGCAACUGAAUAGGACUGGCUGCCAUCAAUCAUGUCCCAGAAUGAGGGUUUUAAAAGAAUCUCACAGCGUUAAUGUCAGUGUUGUGCAGCUUCCUGCAGUGGCACAUCCAAUAUCAGACCUCCCAAUCAUCUUAGUAUCUCUUCCGGUCCCAGUGUUUUGCUCUUAUAGCUCUAUCCCUCUUCUGAACAUAAUCAUGAUUAUAAUGAGAUAAUUGAUUGUGUUCCUAGCAGUUUGGUAUCUGGCUUUUUCACUAGAUUGUUAGCUUCCUGAGGGCAGGGGCCAUGUCUCUUGUUCUUCCCUGUAUCCUCAAGCAGCUCAUGCUAGAUUUUGCCAAUAUUAUGUGCCAUCAAUAUCUGUUGAAUGAAUGUAAACAGCACUUCUAGAAGUACUUAAUAGAUGGUGGUUAAAUAAAUGAAUGAGAUACAUACACAUAUACUGAAAUAAAACUUACUAAUUCAAGUUUUCCCAUUAUUUUUAAGAACCUUUGGAAUUCUCUACUGCAUACUCAUGGGAGAAUAAAAAUGAAAAGGACCAAAAUGUCUCAGUAUUCUUAUAACAAUAAUUUUGACCUUACAGGCCUUUGAAAGGGUCUCAGAAACCCCUGAGUACUCCCUGGAUCACACUUUGAGAACCACUACUGAGGACAAGAUAGAAAAGACCAGGGUCCCCAGUUGGUUGCAUGGAGCAGAACCCUCUAACCGCCCCACUCCCUACCCCUAGGACGAGCUACCAGCAUAGGUCUUCAUAUAAAUUGUAAAUAAACCUUCUACUACCUUAUGAAAGCCAUUGUACUUUGAUUUCUGUUUCAGCGAUCAAACCAACAUG